rnacentral:rRNA from 1 species
UGGUCAAGUUAUUAAGGGUGCAGGGCGGAUGCCUUGGCACUAGGAGCCGAUGAAGGACGUGAUAAGCUGCGAUAAGCUUCGGGGAGUUGCACGUAAACUUUGAUCCGAAGAUUUCCGAAUGAGGAAACUCACUUAGAGUAAUGUCUAAGUAUCAUUAAGUGAAUACAUAGCUUAAUGAGGGGAACUCAGGGAACUGAAACAUCU